CCGCGGGCUCCGACGGCGCGCCUCGCUCCGCCGGGUCGGCGAGGCGAGCAGCCGCCCCGCGCCCUCUGCCGGCCUCAGGCCCGCCCCGACCCCGGAGAGCCCGUGGAGCGUCCUGAGGCCCAGUAGACGGGGAAGGGAAGGAGGAAUGGGUGCUGGGCUUGUUCCUGCGUUUACGUGUUGGAUUACUUGGAGACACGUCCCGCGGGCCUCGUUUGAUCGUGCCCCUCAAGGGGCCCCUCACCUGUCUCCGUGUCUACCUCCUCUCCUUACUCCGUAGUGGAAGCGCUCCUUCCAGAAUCCUUCCUUGUCGCUGGAGAAACCUUAACAGUAGCUGUACAGUCCCUCUGGCCUCAUCGGAAAAACAGUCCUCCUAACAGUGGCUUGGCCUUAGAAUACGUGUGUCCUCCGGCUGGUUUGCAGAA